CACCAGGCGCGAAAACUUUACAAUGCCGGCAACGGCGAUAAGGGAACCUCGAGUGCCAGGUUAUAAAUCUGGCUGUCGUGAUGCCUAAAAAGCAUUGCAUAGCAAGGGCCGGGCAAGACCGGUGCCAGCCGCCGCGGUAACACCGGCGGCUCGAGUGGUAACCGUUAUUAUUGGGUCUAAAGGGUCUGUAGCCGGCCGGAUAAGUCUCUUGGGAAAUCCAGCAGCUCAACUGUUGGGCUUCCAGGAGAUACUGUCUGGCUCGAGGCCGGGAGAGGUGAGAGGUACUUCAGGGGUAGGGGUGAAAUCUUGUAAUCCUUGAAGGACCACCAGUGGCGAAGGCGUCUCACCAGAACGGACCUGACGGCAAGGGACGAAAGCUAGGGGCACGAACCGGAUUAGAUACCCGGGUAGUCCUAGCCGUAAACGAUACUCGCUAGGUGUCGGCCACGGUGCGACCGUGGUCGGUGCCGUAGGGAAGCCGUGAAGCGAGCCACCUGGGAAGUACGGCCGCAAGGCUGAAACUUAAAGGAAUUGGCGGGGGAGCACAAGGGCGAAUCGC
rnacentral:rRNA from 1 species